GUUUCUUCUAUGAAGGCUGCUUUCUGUGAGGGGGUGUUCUGUAGCUAGGGAUUCUUUCAUGAGUUGGCUGCUGAAUGGAUCAGUCUUUAAAUGGGUUGCACUGUGUGAGCAGUGAAUGCAAAGAAUGCACAACUUUUGGAUUAUCAGUCUUUUAAGUGGGAUCCAACAACUUUCCUCAGAAGAGUGGAAUACUAGAUUCAGCCAAGAAAUACUUUGAAAUGAUAUUUAACCUAAGGCUUCUAGUGAACAGAACAUGAAGGGAUAAUAUUCUCUUUCUCUCUUCUUCAAACUCAUAUGCACAUGAUUAUUGCAUUAUUUAUCCACAGCUAAAUACUGUCUACAGCUUUAUCUUUAUUCAUCCCUAUUGCAGUUCAGCAGUGGAAUAUUUUUAGAUCUAUGUACUGUAUCUGCUUAGUGUUAACUUCUCUAUUUCAUUCAUCUGUAUUUUUGCAUACAUACAAUUCUAAUGAUUCUUCCUCUUGUGCUUGAUAAACAUCUAGAGGUUCAUUGAAGAGUAUGGAAGAAAAGGUGAAGAUAAACAAAAUGCAAUACUUGUGAGCAAUGCUCGUGAUUUCACAUGAAUAUUUGAGGAUGGUUUUCCUAAAAGGAUUCCUAGGAGCAUCCUAAGUUUUUCUUUCUAUGCUGCUGGGAAUGUGAAAAAGCCCUAUUGUCACCAGUUCUUUUCAUACUGAAACAUGGUACAGACACAAUAGAGAUAUCUCUAAGCUGGAUUAAGCUCCAGAAGCAUUGGAGAAAUAGCUUGGGAUAUCUAAAACUGGAAUAAACAUUCAAAGAUGUAAAUGUGGGAAGGAAUGAAUUAGAGACAAAAGAAAACCUUCUGAAUACCUAUGUUUCAUGGGCAAUGCACUCCUCCCAGCUGACCAGCUCAGUAUAAGCUUACAGUUGACCUAACUCUUCAAGUUUACUUUCAUUAUUUUUCUAAUAACUUGGAGGCAUUCCAUUUUGUGAAAUAGGCCAAUGUGUCAGGUGAACUGGCCACCAUGAAUGUGGGGCUCUGUCCCAUCAGCUGAGAAUGAAUGUGCAUGUGAAUAUUCAGAGGCCUGUGAAUCUGAUGAAAGAGACUGAGCUGCUACCCAACAUGUAGAGAUUACAAGACUUGGCAAAUGCCCAUCCAAAUCACGUUAACUUUCUUGAGUACUGGCAAUGUGUUUGAAGAAUACAAGGCUCGAACUACUGGAUAGUUGGUUAUCUUCCUAUUGGUUCAUUUUGGGGCUGAAGAGUUUCUGUUAACAUUCCAGCAUUCAUCAAGCAACACUGCAGUCACAAAUCAUACUGCUUCCACUCAAAAAGAUGAUUGGUAAAAUAUACAAUCUCAAAUUUUCUUUUCUCUAGGUUUGUUCUGCUUUCUGGUCUUUGGAAAAAAGCUUCUAUUUGAAAUAGUCCCAAGGUUAAACUCUGUUAUUAGCCCUCAAUUCUGCAGUUUCAUGACUGGGCUACU
rnacentral:lncRNA from 1 species